rnacentral:rRNA from 2 species
AGAGUUUGAUYMUGGCUCAGGANGAACGCUGGCGGCAUGCCUAAUACAUGCAAGUCGAACGAACCAUCCUGAUGAUUGAAGCUUGCUUCAUGAUUCAGACCUUGGUGAGUGGCGGACGGGUGAGUAACACGUGGGUAACCUGCCCAGAAGUGGGGGAUAACAUUUGGAAACAAGUGCUAAUACCGCAUAACAACUUAGAUCACAUGAUCUUUGUUUAAAAGAUGGUUUUGCUAUCUCUUCUGGAUGGACCCGCGGCGUAUUAGCUAGUUGGUGAGGUAAUAGCUCACCAAGGCGAUGAUACGUAGCCGACCUGAGAGGGUAAUCGGCCACAUUGGGACUGAGACACGGCCCAAACUCCUACGGGAGGCAGCAGUAGGGAAUCUUCCACAAUGGACGAAAGUCUGAUGGAGCAAUGCCGCGUGAGUGAAGAAGGUUUUCGGAUCGUAAAACUCUGUUGUUGAAGAAGAAUAUAUGUGAGAGUAACUGUUCACGUACUGACGGUAUUCAACCAGAAAGCCACGGCUAACUACGUGCCAGCAGCCGCGGUAAUACGUAGGUGGCAAGCGUUGUCCGGAUUUAUUGGGCGUAAAGAGAAUGUAGGCGGUUUAUUAAGUUUGAAGUGAAAGCCCUCGGCUCAACCGAGGAAGUGCUUCGAAAACUGGUAAACUUGAGUGCAGAAGAGGAAAGUGGAACUCCAUGUGUAGCGGUGGAAUGCGUAGAUAUAUGGAAGAACACCAGUGGCGAAGGCGGCUUUCUGGUCUGUAACUGACGCUGAGAUUCGAAAGCAUGGGUAGCAAACAGGAUUAGAUACCCUGGUAGUCCAUGCCGUAAACGAUGAGUGCUAAGUGUUGGAGGGUUUCCGCCCUUCAGUGCUGCAGCUAACGCAUUAAGCACUCCGCCUGGGGAGUACGAUCGCAAGAUUGAAACUCAAAGGAAUUGACGGGGGCCCGCACAAGCGGUGGAGCAUGUGGUUUAAUUCGAAGCAACGCGAAGAACCUUACCAGGUCUUGACAUACCAUGAAAAGCUUAGAGAUAAGUCUUUCCCUUCGGGGACAUGGAUACAGGUGGUGCAUGGUUGUCGUCAGCUCGUGUCGUGAGAUGUUGGGUUAAGUCCCGCAACGAGCGCAACCCUUAUUAUCAGUUGCCAGCAUUCAGUUGGGCACUCUGGUGAGACUGCCGGUGAUAAACCGGAGGAAGGUGGGGACGACGUCAAAUCAUCAUGCCCCUUAUGACCUGGGCUACACACGUGCUACAAUGGUCGGUACAACGUGCUGCGAACUCGCGAGGGCAAGCAAAUCACUUAAAACCGAUCUCAGUUCGGAUUGUAGGCUGCAACUCGCCUACAUGAAGCUGGAAUCGCUAGUAAUCGCGGAUCAGCAUGCCGCGGUGAAUACGUUCCCGGGCCUUGUACACACCGCCCGUCACACCAUGAGAGUUUGUAACACCCAAAGUCGGUGGGGUAACCCUUCGGGGAACUAGCCGCCUAAGGUGGGACAAAUGAUUAGGGUGAAGUCGUAACAAGGUAGCCGUAGGAGAACCUGCGGCUGGAUCACCUCCUUUNUG